rnacentral:rRNA from 1 species
UUCCACGAGUUCCGUGCCGCAGCAAACGCAUUAAGUGCCCCGCCUGGGGAGUACGGCCGCAAGGCUAAAACUCAAAGGAAUUGACGGGGGCCCGCACAAGCGGCGGAGCAUGCGGAUUAAUUCGAUGCAACGCGAAGAACCUUACCAAGGCUUGACAUAUACCGAAAACUCAUGGAGACAUGGGGUCCGCAGGGCGGUAUACAGGUGGUGCAUGGUUGUCGUCAGCUCGUGUCGUGAGAUGUUGGGUUAAGUCCCGCAACGAGCGCAACCCUCGUCCUAUGUUGCCGGCACAUCAUGGUGGGGACUCAUAGGAGACUGCCGGGGUCAACUCGGAGGAAGGUGGGGAUGACGUCAAAUCAUCAUGCCCCUUAUGUCUUGGGCUUCACGCAUGCUACAAUGGCCGGUACAAAGGGCUGCGAUACCGCGAGGUGGAGCGAAUCCCAAAAAGCCGGUCUCAGUUCGGAUUGGGGUCUGCAACUCGACCCCAUGAAGUCGGAGUCGCUAGUAAUCGCAGAUCAGCAACGCUGCGGUGAAUACGUUCCCGGGCCUUGUACACACCGCCCGUCAAGUCAC